rnacentral:rRNA from 1 species
CUACGGGUGGCUGCAGUGAGGAAUAUUGCACAAUGGGGGAAACCCUGAUGCAGCAACGCCGCGUGGAGGAUGACGCAUUUCGGUGUGUAAACUCCUUUUAUCAGAGAAGAAAAUGACGGUAUCUGAUGAAUAAGCUCCGGCUAACUCCGUGCCAGCAGCCGCGGUAAUACGGAGGGAGCAAGCGUUAUUCGGAAUCACUGGGCGUAAAGGACGCGUAGGCGGGUUUUUAAGUCAGGUGUGAAAUCCUAUGGCUCAACCAUAGAACUGCACUUGAAACUGGGGACCUAGAGUAUGGAAGGGGCAGGUGGAAUUAGUGGUGUAGGGGUAAAAUCCGUAGAUAUCACUAGGAAUACCGAAAGCGAAGGCGACCUGCUGAGACAUUACUGACGCUGAGGCGUGAAAGCGUGGGGAGCAAACAGGAUUAGAUACCCGGGUAGUC